UCUCGGCAGAUGUUCACGGGUAGUGUCCCCAGAAAAUAAGCAUGAGGAGAAGAGCCAGCAAACGUGUUCAUUUUGUUUAACCCACGUUUACUUCUUCUUUCUAACUUAUUAUUUGUAACGUUAUUAGCCAGGCCAUCCGGUGUAGUAUCAGUAGUCAUGUUUUAAGCCUUUCCUGUUGUGUUCCUGAGCCUGCCUGUUGCUGACAUACAGUAGUUUCUGACUGUGAUCCUUAAUAAUGGCCAAAUGAGGCUGUCCUGAAGCAAUGAGGCUUUGCGGUCCACGCUAUCACCAAAAGUCCCCUAGGUGUCUCUCUGCUACUUCUACUCUCCUCCCACCAUCACCUGAAACUGCUGGUACUGCUCCAAGGAUACUGUCAGGUGGUCCGCUGUUGUCUGCCACAUACACCAUCUUCCCUGUCACUCCAUUGUGGUCAUCUCCUGGGCCCUGCUCCUACUCUGUUGCCUCCGGCCACACUGCCCAGGGUGUGUCUGUUCUCAGAAACUAAGCAGGGCUGGGCCUGCUCAGUACCUGGAUCCGAGACUGCCUGGGAAAAUCAGGUGAUGUAGGUUUGAACCUCCUCUGCUAGAUGAUCUAUAUACCAAUCUGUCUGAUCUGAUUCACUUG